GCUAUGUUUAUCUAAAAUGGUUAGUCUUUUUAACAAAAUCACCUGUAUGAAUGUUGGAAAACCUGUAAAGAAACCUUCAAAAAAUGUUUUGAAAGAAAAAAGAACAUGUGUAAAGAAAUUAUAGGUAUCAAUGCAUUUGUUGGAAAUCUGUAUUUUUAUUGAGGUCUGCUGAAUUAUAUUUUUUUGGAUAAAUGUUAUAAAAGCAAAGGAUAUUCAAAAUUUGUAUGUUGUUGUAAUGAGUUUGAAAUUGAAUGUGAAAUUUGUAUUGUUUUUUCACUUUGACAUUAAUACCCUAAAUGAAGUACACAUUAAAUGUAGUGAGUGAAGGGAGAUAAUCCAUGGUUUAAUUGCUGAAGGUAUCCACUUUUGUUGAUUAAAACUUUUAUUUUAAAGAAUGAUUGAAAGAAAAAAAUUCUCAUCUUUCAAAAAAUUUCUUUUGUCAUGCAGACUUGCAAAACAUUAACA
rnacentral:lncRNA from 1 species